rnacentral:rRNA from 1 species
GACGGACGCUGGCGGCGUGCUUAACACAUGCAAGUCGAACGGAAAGGCCCUGCUUUUGUGGGGUGCUCGAGUGGCGAACGGGUGAGUAACACGUGAGUAACCUGCCCUUGACUUUGGGAUAACUUCAGGAAACUGGGGCUAAUACCGGAUAGGAGCUCCUGCUGCAUGGUGGGGGUUGGAAAGUUUCGGCGGUUGGGGAUGGACUCGCGGCUUAUCAGCUUGUUGGUGGGGUAGUGGCUUACCAAGGCUUUGACGGGUAGCCGGCCUGAGAGGGUGACCGGCCACCUUGGGACUGAGAUACGGCCCAGUCUCCUACGGGAGGCAGCAGUGGGGAAUAUUGCACAAUGGGCGGAAGCCUGAUGCAGCAACGCCGCGUGCGGGAUGACGGCCUUCGGGUUGUAAACCGCUUUCGCCUGUGACGAAGCGUGAGUGACGGUAAUGGGUAAAGAAGCACCGGCUAACUACGUG